ACCCUCCCAACUACACACACCAGGUGUAGCGACUGAUUGGUGGGCGGGGCAGAUAGCUUUAAAGCUGAGCAGUCCGCUGCGAGGUGCAUGUGCCUUGUUUCCUUGCUGUAUGUUGGCUGCCCAAGUGGCUGGUGUGUUCGAUCCACUCAUCCAAAAUACGUUGCGCAGUUGGCGUUGGCGGCUGCAGUUGGAGGUUGGUGCGGCGAGCGGCUUCCAUCCAGCCCUCGCCUGCUGAUCCGCUCCCUCCCUGGUCGGCUGUGUCACCACAUCUGGGAUUCUUUCAGAGUUGCAGCGCUUGGACGCUCCUGCUGUCUUGUCUUGUCUUGUCUUGCCGGUUUUGUUUGGGCCGCUCUCGACGGAGCCUGCUGACGCUAUUGGCUGGCG